UUAUCUUAUUCUAGGAGUUAUAAGGCUAGAAUUAGAUUACCUUUUACGAUCUAAGAUCUAGAAGUAAGAUUUAGAACCUUGUUCUAAAUUGAGUCACUCCACAAUCUAACUUGAUCAAGGCUUGAUUGAAUGGCUCAGGUGCAA